GAUGAACGCUGGCGGCGUGCCUAAUACAUGCAAGUCGAGCGAACAGACGAGGAGCUUGCUCCUCUGACGUUAGCGGCGGACGGGUGAGUAACACGUGGAUAACCUACCUAUAAGACUGGGAUAACUUCGGGAAACCGGAGCUAAUAACGGAUAAUAUAUUGAACCGCAUGGUUCAAUAGUGAAAGACGGUUUUGCUGUCACUUAUAGAUGGAUCCGCGCCGCAUUAGCUAGUUGGUAAGGUAACGGCUUACCAAGGCAACGAUGCGUAGCCGACCUGAGAGGGUGAUCAGCCACACUGGAACUGAGACACGGUCCAGACUCCUACGGGAGGCAGCAGUAGGGAAUCUUCCGCAAUGGGCGAAAGCCUGACGGAGCAACGCCGCGUGAGUGAUGAAGGUCUUCGGAUCGUAAAGCUCUGUUAUUAGGGAAGAACAAAUGUGUAAGUAACUAUGCACGUCUUGACGGUACCUAAUCAGAAAGCCACGGCUAACUACGUG
rnacentral:rRNA from 1 species